UACGAAGGGGGCUAGCGUUGUUCGGAAUCACUGGGCGUAAAGGGUGCGCAGGCGGCCAUUUAAGUCGGGGGUGAAAGCCUGUGGCUCAACCACAGAAUUGCCUUCGAUACUGGAUGGCUUGAGUUCGGUAGAGGUUGGUGGAACUGCGAGUGUAGAGGUGAAAUUCGUAGAUAUUCGCAAGAACACCGGUGGCGAAGGCGGCCAACUGGACCGACACUGACGCUGAGGCGCGAAAGCGUGGGGAGCAAACAGG
rnacentral:rRNA from 1 species